UGCCGGUCGAGACGUGGC
rnacentral:misc_RNA from 1 species